GAAAUAAAGGUAUUGUAUCCAACUACAACUAAAAAAAAUAUUUUUUUAAAAAAGGAAUGAGAUAGAUACCCAACUUAAUGUUCAUAAACAUUAUUAAGGAUAUUGACACUGUUAACCUUACUGAGCAACUAGAUUUUAAAGACUUAAAUAUGCAUCAUUAAGUGGAACUUGAAGUUCUAAUCAUUUGGUUACAGCUAAUUGGAAAAACUAAAUGACAGGUCUUAUGUUUAGCUCCUCAACUUGCCAUAUUGUUGAAUAGAUUAGUGUGAAAUAUGAAUGAAAAUGCUUUAAAAAGUCUUAUAUAUUUUGUCUUUCUGGAAUAUGAACAAUUGCUUUGUUAACACAGUCUGAAUUGGUUGGCCCAGUUUAUCUGACAAAAGGUGCAACCAAGUGACCAAAUUUUUUAAAAGCGGAAGCCAACACAGCUCUUAUAUGCCAGGCAUAUAAGAGUUAAAUACAUGUAACAAGGAUGAGGCAAAAAGAGGUUAACCUACUGGAGGUCAAAUAACUAGUAAGGAGUCCAACCCAUUGUCUUUCUUUUCUUUUUUGUGGUACUGGGGAUUGAACCCUGAGGUGUUUUACCGCUGAGCUACAUCUCCAACCUUUUUUUUGGUACCAGGA
rnacentral:lncRNA from 1 species